rnacentral:ncRNA from 1 species
AAAGAAAUCGUUAAGGGCGUAUGGCGGAUGCCUAGGCUUUCAGAGGCGACGAAGGACGUGGUAAGCUGCGAAAAGCUGCGGGGAUUGGCACACACGAAUUGAUCCGCAGAUGUCCGAAUGGGGCAACCCGGCUGGUUGAAGACCAGUCACCUCGUAAGAGGAGCAAACCCGGAGAACUGAAACAUCUAAGUACCCGGAGGAAAAGAAAUCGAAGAGAUUCCGUAAGUAGUGGCGAGCGAAAGCGGAUUAGCCCAAAAGCUGAUAUAUGUUUAAUAGAAUGUUCUGGAAAGAACAGCCAUAGAGGGUGAUAGCCCCGUAUAUGAAAGGCAUAUUUGAGUGAUAAAUGAGUAGGGCGGGACACGUGAAAUCCUGUCUGAAUAUGGGGGGACCAUCCUCCAAGGCUAAAUACUCCUGAAAGACCGAUAGUGAACAAGUACUGUGAAGGAAAGGUGAAAAGCACUUCGAAUAGAAGGGUGAAAUAGAACCUGAAACCGUACGCCUACAAGCGGUCGGAGCAGCAUUAAGCUGUGACGGCGUGCCUUUUGCAUAAUGAGCCUACGAGUUAAUUUUACUAGCGAGGUUAAGGUAUUAAGUACCGGAGCCGGAGCGAAAGCGAGUCUGAAUAGGGCGUAUAGUUAGUAGGAUUAGACGCGAAACCUUGUGAUCUACCCAUGGGCAGGUUGAAGCUCUGGUAACACAGAGUGGAGGACCGAACCGGUUGACGUUGAAAAGUCUUCGGAUGACCUGUGGGUAGGGGUGAAAGGCCAAUCAAACUGGGAGAUAGCUCGUACUCUCCGAAAUGCAUUUAGGUGCAGCGUCGUAUAUAAGUUUAUUAGAGGUAGAGCUACUGAUUGGAUGCGGGGGUUUCAUCGCCUACCAAUUCCUGACAAACUCCGAAUGCUAAUAAAUGUUCUACGGCAGUGAGGGCAUGGGUGCUAAGGUCCAUGUCCGAGAGGGAAAGAACCCAGACCAACAGCUAAGGUCCCAAAAUAUAUGUUAAGUUGAAACAACGCGGUUGGACUGCAUUGACAGCUAGGAUGUUGGCUUGGAAGCAGCCAUUCAUUUAAAGAGUGCGU